CUCUAUUAUUGUGUAUUAUAGGGGCAGUUGUAUAAACCUAGGGGCGGUUCUUUUAAAAAAAACUAACCCUAGCAAAAUCAAUUUCUUUUUUCCAUUCUUCUUCUCGUCGGCCUCACAUCCUCUCAACUCAAACACUGUGACAAUGGCGAAUCUGACCUAAUUCACUCCACUCCACUUCACUAACAAUGUCGAAUCUGACCUAAUUCACUCCACUCCACUUCACUAACAAUGGCGAAUCUGACCUAGCCGCUGAUUCACUCCACUCCACUUCACUAACAAUGGCGAAUCUGACCUAGCAGCUGAUUCACUCCACUCUACUUCACUAACAUUGACGAAGCGGUUUUUAUUAGCAACUGAAUCGCUCACUUCACUUAGGUUCAUUUCACUCCAUUAGCAGCUGAAUCGCUCUCUCAUCCUCACGAGCACUAGCAGCAAAUCUCAUAUCAAUGAGAGAGAGUUUAUUGAUAUCGAGAAACGAAAACGGCGUAGACAGAAUCGUCUAAAUCCAAAUGACCUGGAAGUACUGAUAAAUGAAAAUUUUCAUGUUUGGCUCCACAGCAAGGUUAUAGGUCUAGCGCGUGACUCGAAUAUCUCUGUUGAAAUUAUGGCCCUAGGUAGGGGUCCUAACAAGGUAGCAAGAAGAUUUUCUGGUUUCAUUAUUAAUGGAAUUAGAUUUCAUACCAAGACCCGUGAAGAGCAAAGACUGACCCAAAAUAGCGGUGUAGUUAACAAAUCAGAAGGAGGGGGUGUGGAAUACUUUGGAAAACUAAGAGAUAUUAUUGAACUAAAUUACUAUGGGAGUUUCAAGAUUGUGUUAUUUAAACGUGAUUGGAUUGAUGUUCAUCGUAGUGCUGGAAUGAAAAAAGAUGAAUAUGGGUAUACAUUAGUUAACUUCUCUCGGUUAAUUCAUACGGGUGACAAUGUAACUGAUGAUCCGUAUAUUUUUUCUUCUCAAGCUGAUCAAGUGUUCUAUGUGGAAGAUCCAAGUAAUCUAAACUGGCAUGUGGUUAUCAAAAUUAAACCCAGAGAUGCAUUUGAUAUGGGCCAUGAAGAAGAAGAUGAUCAUUCUUUUACUUCUGUUAGUAGGCAGAUUUUAUGUGAAAAGUGCUCAAUAUUGAUCACUUAUUAGACGCAUCCACAACUAUAUGGAAUAUGGAAAAGGGUGAAAAGAUAUUUGUAGAGGCGGAUGGAUUUGGAGUUCCGUGCUCUAGAGAAGGUGCAACACUUGGAUCCUUCUUGGGAACUAUUGCAGUGAAUGGGAAAUAUGCACCAUUGGAUAUGCCGAGAUGGGACAACAAAGAUUAUAAGUCAUUUCGUGAUGAUAUUUUGACUUUAGUGCAAUUUGAUCUGAAAUUACAGUAUUACAGCUGAGAUAAAUCUAAGGAACAAGUCAAAACAGAUGUUCCAAAAGGGAUUGAAAUAACUCAAUGGCGUAUUUUGGUCAAUGGAUGGUAUACUGAGAGAAGUCAGAGAUUGAGCCAGAUAAAUACUGCCAAUGCAAAUAAGAAGAAAAACAAGCAAACUACUGGAAGAAAAAGCUAUGCAAGACUUCGAAAAGAAAUGGACAUACAAAGUGGGGUGGCCCCUGACCGACUUACUUUUUUUGACACGACCCAUAGAAAGAAGUUAACCGCCCCUACGUACUUGUAUCUAUUAGGGGCGGAAUAUAGGGGCAGUUAUAAACGCCGUUUUUCCGAGCGCCACUACUGUACAGAGGCGGCUUUUGCAACUGCCGGGGUAACUUUUAUAUCUAGGGGCGGAAUAUAAGGGCGGUUAUAACCGCCUCGGGUUUAUAUUAGUAGGGGCAUCAUUCCAUCACCAAGCAAUGUGCUUCCUUUUGCAGGAUGUUUUUGAAGUCCACUGAUUACAAUGUUUAGAAUCAUUUAUGGAAUUUUGGUUAUUAGUUUUACUGAAAGGCAUACUAUUGGAUGAUUGUUUAGAAUGAUUUAUGAAAAUUUGAUUAUUAAUUUCAAUGAAAAGCAUUUUAUGUGUAA